rnacentral:rRNA from 1 species
UACGUAGGGUGCGAGCGUUAAUCGGAAUUACUGGGCGUAAAGCGUGCGCAGGCGGUUUUGUAAGCCAGAUGUGAAAUCCCCGGGCUUAACCUGGGAAUGGCAUUUGGGACUGCAAGGCUUGAGUGCGGCAGAGGAGACUGGAAUUCCUGGUGUAGCAGUGAAAUGCGUAGAUAUCAGGAGGAAUACCGGUGGCGAAAGCGACUCUCUGGACGGCAACUGACGCUGAGGCACGAAAGCGUGGGGAGCAAACAGG